rnacentral:rRNA from 1 species
GGGCCCGCACAAGCGGUGGAGCAUGUGGUUUAAUUCGAUGAUACGCGAGGAACCUUACCUGGGCUUAAAUGUAGAGUGACAGCUGUAGAAAUACGGUUUUCUUCGGACACUUUACAAGGUGCUGCAUGGUUGUCGUCAGCUCGUGCCGUGAGGUGUCGGGUUAAGUCCCAUAACGAGCGCAACCCCUAUUGUUAGUUGCUAACGAGUAAUGUCGAGGACUCUAGCAAAACUGCCCGCGCAAGCGGUGAGGAAGGUGGGGAUGACGUCAAAUCAUCACGGCCCUUACGUCCAGGGCUACACACGUGCUACAAUGGUAGAGACAGAGGGCAGCCACCCGGCGACGGGGAGCCAAUCCUAAAACUCUAUCUCAGUUCGGAUCGUAGUCUGCAACUCGACUACGUGAAGCUGGAAUCGCUAGUAAUCG